AAGAGGAAAUUACACAAACUGCAUCUACAGACUCUACUGCUACCAGUGUUGAUUUGGGACCCAGCGCAGGCACCAAACUUAAAACAAGGAAGCCAGAUACCUGCUAUCAGGCACCUAUAAUGAGACCAACACACAAAAACCUUUUGGUGAAAAUGAGACAAAUGCUUGUAGAAAAUCUCCAAGUUGAGGACAUCAUUCGGGACAUGGUAGCCACGAACCUAUUCAGUAAAGACAAUGCAGAAAAGGUAAUGGCUAAAGAAACAGAAAAUGAUCAAGCUUUUGAAUU